rnacentral:rRNA from 1 species
AGUGAACGCUGGCGGCGUGCUUAACACAUGCAAGUCGAACGGAUCAAAGUAGCUUGCUAUUUUGGUUAGUGGCGCACGGGUGAGUAAUGUAUAGCUAACCUGCCCUUUAGUGGGGGACAACAGUUGGAAACGACUGCUAAUACCCCAUACUCCUUCUUGCCAUAAGGUGAGUCGGGAAAGAUUUAUUGCUAAAGGAUGGGGCUUUAUUGUAUCAGCUAGUUGGUGAGGUAAUGGCUCACCAAGGCUAUGACGCAUACCUGGUCUGAGAGGAUGAUCAGGCACACUGGAACUGAGACACGGUCCAGACUCCUACGGGAGGCAGCAGUGGGGAAUAUUGCACAAUGGAGGAAACUCUGAUGCAGCAACGCCGCGUGGAGGAUGACGCAUUUCGGUGUGUAAACUCCUUUUAUAAGGGAAGAUAAUGACGGUACCUUAUGAAUAAGCACCGGCUAACUCCGUG